CUACGUGCCAGCAGCCGCGGUAAUACGUAGGGUGCGAGCGUUAAUCGGAAUUACUGGGCGUAAAGCGAGCGCAGACGGUUACUUAAGCAGGAUGUGAAAUCCCCGGGCUCAACCUGGGAACUGCGUUCUGAACUGGGUGACUAGAGUGUGUCAGAGGGAGGUAGAAUUCCACGUGUAGCAGUGAAAUGCGUAGAGAUGUGGAGGAAUACCGAUGGCGAAGGCAGCCUCCUGGGAUAACACUGACGUUCAUGCUCGAAAGCGUGGGUAGCAAACAGGAUUAGAUACCCUGGUAGUCCACGCCGUAAACGAUGAGUGCUAGGUGUUGGGUCCUUUCCGGGACUCAGUGCCGCAGCUAACGCAUUAAGCACUCCGCCUGGGGAGUACGACCGCAAGGUUGAAACUCAAAGGAAUUGACGGGGGCCCGCACAAGCGGUGGAGCAUGUGGUUUAAUUCGAAGCAACGCGAAGAACCUUACCAGGUCUUGACAUCCCUCUGACCGCUCUAGAGAUAGAGUUUUC
rnacentral:rRNA from 1 species